rnacentral:rRNA from 1 species
GCUCAGUAACACGUAGUCAACCUACCCUAUGGACGAGAAUAAUCUCGGGAAACUGAGCAUAAUUCUUGAUAGACCAUAAUGCCUGGAAUGGUUUAUGGUUAAAAUGAUUCGUCGCCAUAGGAUGGGACUGCGGCCUAUCAGCUUGUUGGUGAGGUAAUGGCCCACCAAGGCGAUUACAGGUACGGGCUCUGAGAGGAGAAGCCCGGAGAUGGGUACUGAGACACGGACCCAGGCCCUAUGGGGCGCAGCAAGCGAGAAAACUUUGCAAUGUGCGAAAGCACGACAAGGUUAAUCCGAGUGAUUUCUGCUAAAGAAAUCUUUUGUCAGUCAUAAAACCACUGGCGAAUAAGGGGUGGGCAAGUUCUGGUGUCAGCCGCCGCGGGUAAAACCAGCACCUCAAGUGGUCAGGAUGAUUAUUGGGCCUAAAGCAUCCGUA